rnacentral:lncRNA from 1 species
AGGAGCUUGGCUUUGGAGGCACGAGACAUGGCAGUGCCCAUCACCCCCUGUAGGAAUGUAUUUAACUCACCUCUAUAAGGGCUGUGGCUCAAACUGCCUGGCUGAAUAACAGCUCAUGGGGGCCCUAACUGCUACUGAUAUUAUCAAGCUCCCACCAGUAUGUACUGCUGAGCAAGGAAAACAAUAUUUCUAGUUUAAGGGGUUUUUUGUUUGUUUUUAACAGGGUUCAGCCCAAUAAAAGGUGAAGGACCUUUGUAAUUGGAAAGGAUAAAACAUUGAGUGGAAGGAUGUUGUUCCGUGCUGCAGAGCGGGUGCAGCUCAGCACAGCAGACCCCAGCUGCCGAUCUGCACGCUACAUCAAAGCCGUGCAGGGAGGCAAAAUCCCAGAUCGGAAUAUUCCAGUUCUUCCACGUGAUGCUUUGCAUUAUGUUCCUGCUGCUCAUCGGCAGGCUGCCUCGCUCGCGUCCACCGCUCCCUGGUGUGCUCCUGUCCUGGUCCCCGUGUCGGGGGAGCCCCUCGCAGCAGCAGCGUGCGGGAUGCCUCGUGCCUGGGAAUGCUGCCUGGUGAGAAGCAUAGGGACCCUGAAUAGCUGAUUACAGCUUCCCAUGAGAUAUCGCGUGCUCUGGGCUUUGUUCAGCAAUUUGUGAUGUUCCUUCAGAAGGAAAGGUCACACAACUCUUAAUGUGAAUGAACUUUUUCAUUAGGAAAAUUUCUUAUGGAUUUUCUUUUCUGUUUUGUUUUCCUUUGCUUGCCACCUCUUAAUUAAAACAGCCCUGUUUUAAACAAACCACUCUUUAAAGAGGUUCUGUUGACAUAUUCAAAACUCCCCCCAUCUUAAAUCCUUUUAAAAUAAGGAUCAAGUCUGGCUGCUUCCAGUCACCUGCCCAAAUAAAUGAGCUUGCGGUGUACUUGAGUUCA